rnacentral:misc_RNA from 1 species
AGGCAGUCACCCUGCUCGACGAUGGGACAUCUAUUGGCGUCCUCAGGAAUUUUUUCCCAGCUCUACACAAUUCAUGCAAGGGUUCAAGAUUAUCGUGAGAACAGCAAAUCCGUGCCACUGGUGUAUGCACUAAUGACGCGAAAGACUGAGGCUGCAUACAUCCGCCUUUUUAAGGACCCUUCAAUAUGGUUGAGGAAGCCACUGGAAAUCAACUGAGUUCACUUUUCUUUUGACGGACUUUGAGCAGGCCGCAAUGAAUGCCAUUCAGAAGGUGUUGCCAGACACAAAGUGCCACAGGUGCUUGUUUCACUUGGGACACGCCAUCUACAAGCACGUGCAGGAGUACAAGCUCCAACCCCAGUAUAACCGUGACAAGAGCUUCGCGACGUCUGUGCGGAUGUUGACGGCACUGGCUUUUCUACCGUACGAGAGGAUCAGAGAGGCAUACAGCGCUAAGGUCAACUGGAAGUUGCUGUCCCUAUUUGUCACUUAUUCAUUGCCUCAAUAUCUCCGGUGUGGAGAUUCCUGCACUGCAUGAUGCCAAAGGUAAGUGGCUGCAUCUUAUGGUGCAACAAAUUCAAUUUGUAGAGCGAAAGCUGGGUGAUUAUAGAGGAAGCAAAAGUGGGUGCACCAACCUUUACACCUUAGUUGAAUAUUAAAUACGACUGUUACAAUUAUACAGGGUGUUUCAG